UACGGAGGGGGCAAGCGUUGUUCGGAAUUACUGGGCGUAAAGCGUGCGUAGACGGCUAUCUAAGUCGGGUGUGAAAGCCCCGGGCUCAACCUGGGAAUUGCAUUCGAGACUGAAUAGCUAGGGUACGGUAGAGGGAAGUGGAAUUUCCGGUGUAGCGGUGAAAUGCGUAGAUAUCGGAAGGAACAUCAGUGGCGAAAGCGACUUCCUGGACCAGUACCGACGUUCAGGCACGAAAGCGUGGGGAGCAAACAGG
rnacentral:rRNA from 1 species